AAUUGAAACAAAUUGUUGUUUUUAGUGAUGUACAUUAAUUAAGAUCAAGUCUAUUAUGCUUGGUUUAUUGUCUGAAUCAUAACUUUUUCUUAUAUGAAAUUGUUUUUAACUUCUGCAUAUUUUAUACAUAAAGGCAUGCAACAAUUGCUACACAUAUAGAUAAAUCUAUUUACAAAGGAUAAUGACACAUAACACAACACAUGUCAAUCGGCAGUAAAACAGAACACAACCAUGACAAGUUACUUUGCCGUGAAAAGAAAAAUAAUGUAUAUGUAAAAAGUAGAUAAAAAUCUAGGGGAAGGCUUUUCUGAAUAAUGUCAAAACAUUAAUAUUGACUAGAUAACAAAAAAUGAUUUUCAUUACAAUGGUAAUUCACAAACUUUUAAUACAUUGUGACUUGGAAAGAGAGUUGUCUCAUUGGCACUCGCACCACAUCUUCUUAUUUAUAUAAAUUAAUCUGCCUCAUAUUUUAGUAGAGUUUUGAAUUAGUAUAACUAAUAUACAUUUGGUUUUCAUGAAACUGGAGAAAAAUAUUUGUUUCAAUAGUCUCAUAGGGUUCAUUACAUUAGUAAUUGACUAGAAACAACACAAAAUUGCAAUGCAAC
rnacentral:lncRNA from 1 species